GAUGAACGCUGGCGGCGUGCCUAAUACAUGCAAGUCGAGCGAACAGAUAAGGAGCUUGCUCCUUUGACGUUAGCGGCGGACGGGUGAGUUACACGUGGAUAACCUACCUAUAAGACUGGGAUAACUUCGGGAAACCGGAGCUAAUACCGGAUAACAUAUUGAACCGCAUGGUUCAAUAGUGAAAGGCGGCUUUGCUGUCACUUAUAGAUGGAUCCGCGCCGUAUUAGCUAGUUGGUAAGGUAACGGCUUACCAAGGCAACGAUACGUAGCCGACCUGAGAGGGUGAUCGGCCACACUGGAACUGAGACACGGUCCAGACUCCGACGGGAGGCAGCAGUAGGGAAUCUUCCGCAAUGGGCGAAAGCCUGACGGAGCAACGCCGCGUGAGUGAUGAAGGUCUUCGGAUCGUAAAACUCUGUUAUCAGGGAAGAACAAAUGUGUAAGUAACUGUGCACAUCUUGACGGUACCUGAUCAGAAAGCCACGGCUAACUACGUG
rnacentral:rRNA from 1 species